rnacentral:lncRNA from 1 species
AUCACCAUUAAAUAACUAUAAAAUGAACAAAUAUAAGAUAUUUCGGAUAACAGAUAUCCUUCUUCGGUAAUAACACGAUGUCAAAUGAAUCAUAUAAAAAAGAAGAUGUGGUAUUAUUGCCAAUGAGACAACUAUCCACAAAAGACCAAAAUGACACAAACAUUAACAACUAUAGGUAACCGUACGGCCUUCAACAAGGAGCAACACCCAUACCGCAUAGUCAGCUAUAAAAGGCCCCGAAAAGACAAUGUAAAACAAUUCAAACGAGAAAACUAACGGCCUUAUUUAUGUAAAAAAAAAACGAACAAAAAA